CACACGUUGAUGAAAAACUCAUCUGCUCCGAGGUAGACAGCUCUCAACUCCACGCACUGGAAGAUGACAAUUCUACUGAAGCCGUGUGCAACUUCACCAUCACUGAACACGCCUGUGCCCCGACAAGACGACUCUCAGCAGAAAACUUGGCCACGCUCUUGAAGUGCUCUCUGGAAAGCAACCGGAUGUACGUGGUGGAAGUUUGGCAGCUUCUUUUCCAAAAAG